rnacentral:rRNA from 1 species
UACGGAGGGGGCUAGCGUUGUUCGGAAUUACUGGGCGUAAAGCGCACGUAGGCGGCUUUGUAAGUUAGUGGUGAAAGCCCGGGGCUCAACUCCGGAAUUGCCUUUAAGACUGCAUCGCUAGAAUUGUGGAGAGGUAAGUGGAAUUCCGAGUGUAGAGGUGAAAUUCGUAGAUAUUCGGAAGAACACCAGUGGCGAAGGCGACUUACUGGACACAUAUUGACGCUGAGGUGCGAAAGCGUGGGGGGCAAACAGG